rnacentral:rRNA from 1 species
GACGAACGCUGGCGGCGUGCUUAACACAUGCAAGUCGAACGGAAAGGCCCUGCUUUUGUGGGGUGCUCGAGUGGCGAACGGGUGAGUAACACGUGAGUAACCUGCCCUUGACUUUGGGAUAACUUCAGGAAACUGGGGCUAAUAUCGGAUAGGAGCUCCUGCUGCAUGGUGGGGGUUGGAAAGUUUCGGCGGUUGGGGAUGGACUCGCGGCUUAUCAGCUUGUUGGUGGGGUAGUGGCUUACCAAGGCUUUGACGGGUAGCCGGCCUGAGAGGGUGACCGGCCACAUUGGGACUGAGAUACGGCCCAGACUCCUACGGGAGGCAGCAGUGGGGAAUAUUGCACAAUGGGCGGAAGCCUGAUGCAGCAACGCCGCGUGCGGGAUGACGGCCUUCGGGUUGUAAACCGCUUUCGCCUGUGACGAAGCGUGAGUGACGGUAAUGGGUAAAGAAGCACCGGCUAACUACGUGCCAGCAGCCGCGGUGAUACGUAGGGUGCGAGCGUUGUCCGGAUUUAUUGGGCGUAAAGGGCUCGUAGGUGGUUGAUCGCGUCGGAAGUGUAAUCUUGGGGCUUAACCCUGAGCGUGCUUUCGAUACGGGUUGACUUGAGGAAGGUAGGGGAGAAUGGAAUUCCUGGUGGAGCGGUGGAAUGCGCAGAUAUCAGGAGGAACACCAGUGGCGAAGGCGGUUCUCUGGGCCUUUCCUGACGCUGAGGAGCGAAAGCGUGGGGAGCGAACAGGCUUAGAUACCCUGGUAGUCCACGCUGUAAACGGUGGGUACUAGGUGUGGGGUCCACUCCACGGGUUCCGUGCCGUAGCUAACGCUUUAAGUACCCCGCCUGGGGAGUACGGCCGCAAGGCCAAAACUCAAAGGAAUUGACGGGGCCCCGCACAAGCGGCGGAGCAUGCGGAUUAAUUCGAUGCAACGCGUAGAACCUUACCUGGGUUUGACAUGGAUCGGGAGUGCUCAGAGAUGGGUGUGCCUCUUUUGGGGUCGGUUCACAGGUGGUGCAUGGCUGUCGUCAGCUCGUGUCGUGAGAUGUUGGGUUAAGUCCCGCAACGAGCGCAACCCUUGUUCACUGUUGCCAGCACGUUAUGGUGGGGACUCAGUGGAGACCGCCGGGGUCAACUCGGAGGAAGGUGGGGAUGACGUCAAGUCAUCAUGCCCCUUAUGUCCAGGGCUUCACGCAUGCUACAAUGGCUGGUACAGAGAGUGGCGAGCCUGUGAGGGUGAGCGAAUCUCGGAAAGCCGGUCUCAGUUCGGAUUGGGGUCUGCAACUCGACCUCAUGAAGUCGGAGUCGCUAGUAAUCGCAGAUCAGCAACGCUGCGGUGAAUACGUUCCCGGG